CCCUUAGAUGUUCUGGGCCGCACGCGCGCUACACUGAUGCAUUCAACGAGUUUCUUCCUGGUCCGAGAGGAAUGGGUAACCUUUUGAAAGUGCAUCGUGAUAGGGAUAGACUAUUGCAAUUAUUGGUCUUCAACGAGGAAUUCCUAGUAGACGUAGUUCAUCAGACUGCAUCGAUUACGUCCCUGCCCUUUGUACACACCGCCCGUCGCACCUACCGAUUGAAUGUUUCGGUGAAGAUUCCGGAUAGGACUUUUUUGAUUUAUUUCAAUUUUGUCUUAAAAGCUAUCUAAACCUCAACAUUUAGAGGAAGGUGAAGUCGUAACA
rnacentral:rRNA from 1 species